rnacentral:rRNA from 1 species
CCUACGGGAGGCAGCAGUAGGGAAUCUUCCACAAUGGGCGAAAGCCUGAUGGAGCAACGCCGCGUGGGUGAAGAAGGUCUUCGGAGCGUAAAACCCUGUUGAUAGAGAAGAAAGUGCGUGCGAGUAACUGUUCACGUUUCGACGGUAUCUAUCCAGAAAGCCACGGCUAACUACGUGCCAGCAGCCGCGGUGAUACGUAGGUGGCAAGCGUUAGCCGGAUUUAUUGGGCGUAAAGGGAACGCAGGCGGUUGUUUAAGUCUGAUGUGAAAGCCUUCGGCUUAACCGGAGGAGUGCAUUUGAAACUGGGAGACUUGAGUGCAGUAGAGGAGAGUGGAACUCCAUGUGUAGCGGUGAAAUGCGUAGAUAUAUGGAAGAACACCAGUGGCGAAAGUGGCUCACUGGACUGUAACUGACGCUGAGGUUCGAAAGCGUGGGUAGCAAACAGGAUUAGAUACCCCAGUAGUC